rnacentral:rRNA from 1 species
UGCAGUCGAACGAUGAAGCCCAGCUUGCUGGGUGGAUUAGUGGCGAACGGGUGAGUAACACGUGAGUAACCUGCCCCUGACUCUGGGAUAAGCCCGGGAAACUGGGUCUAAUACCGGAUAUGACUUUUGACCGCAUGGUUGAGGGUGGAAAGAUUUAUCGGUUGGGGAUGGACUCGCGGCCUAUCAGCUUGUUGGUGAGGUAAUGGCUCACCAAGGCGACGACGGGUAGCCGGCCUGAGAGGGUGACCGGCCACACUGGGACUGAGACACGGCCCAGACUCCUACGGGAGGCAGCAGUGGGGAAUAUUGCACAAUGGGCGCAAGCCUGAUGCAGCGACGCCGCGUGAGGGAUGACGGCCUUCGGGUUGUAAACCUCUUUCAGUAGGGAAGAAGCGAGAGUGACGGUACCUGCAGAAGAAGCGCCGGCUAACUACGUGCCAGCAGCCGCGGUAAUACGUAGGGCGCAAGCGUUAUCCGGAUUUAUUGGGCGUAAAGAGCUCGUAGGCGGUUUGUCGCGUCUAUCGUGAAAGUCCGAGGCUCAACCUCGGAUCUGCGGUGGGUACGGGCAGACUAGAGUGAUGUAGGGGAGACUGGAAUUCCUGGUGUAGCGGUGAAAUGCGCAGAUAUCAGGAGGAACACCGAUGGCCAAAGCAGGUCUCUGGGCAUUUACUGACGCUGAGGAGCGAAAGCAU